rnacentral:rRNA from 1 species
GGAAUAUUGGACAAUGGGGGAAACCCUGAUCCAGCCAUGCCGCGUGUGUGAAGAAGGCCUUUUGGUUGUAAAGCACUUUAAGCGAGGAGGAGGCUACUUAGAAUAAUACUCUAAGAUAGUGGACGUUACUCGCAGAAUAAGCACCGGCUAACUCUGUGCCAGCAGCCGCGGUAAUACAGAGGGUGCGAGCGUUAAUCGGAUUUACUGGGCGUAAAGCGUACGUAGGUGGUCUUUUAAGUCGGAUGUGAAAUCCCUGAGCUUAACUUAGGAAUUGCAUUCGAUACUGGGAGACUAGAGUAUGGGAGAGGAUGGUAGAAUUCCAGGUGUAGCGGUGAAAUGCGUAGAGAUCUGGAGGAAUACCGAUGGCGAAGGCAGCCAUCUGGCCUAAUACUGACACUGAGGUACGAAAGCAUGGGGAGCAAACAGGAUUAGAUACCCCUG